rnacentral:rRNA from 1 species
UUAACGCUGAGGUGUGAUGACGAGGCACUACGGUGCUGAAGUGAUAAAUGCCCUGCUUCCAGGAAAAGCCUCUAAGCAUCAGGUAACACGAAAUCGUACCCCAAACCGACACAGGUGGUCAGGUAGAGAAUACCAAGGCGCUUGAGAGAACUCGGGUGAAGGAACUAGGCAAAAUGGUGCCGUAACUUCGGGAGAAGGCACGCUGAUAUGUAGGUGAAGCCCCUGCGGGCGGAGCUGAAAUCAGUCGAAGAUACCAGCUGGCUGCAACUGUUUAUUAAAAACACAGCACUGUGCAAACACGAAAGUGGACGUAUACGGUGUGACGCCUGCCCGGUGCCGGAAGGUUAAUUGAUGGGGUUAGC